GAUGAACGCUGGCGGCGUGCCUAACACAUGCAAGUCGAACGGAGUCGCUUUGGAAAUUUCUUCGGAGAUGGAAUUCUCGACUUAGUGGCGGACGGGUGAGCAACGCGUGAGCAUUCUGCCUUUAAGAGGGGGAUAACAGUCGGCAACUGCUGCUAAUACCGCAUAAAGGAAUACAUUCGCAUGUUUUUGAUGCCAAAGGAGCAGUCCGCUUUUAGAUGUGAUCGCGUCUGCUUAGCUAGUGGGCGGGGUAACGGCCCACCAAGGCGACGAUCAGUAGCAGGACUGAGAGGAGGAACGGCCACAUUGGGACUGAGACACGGCCGAGACGACUACGGGAGGAAGCAGUGGAGAAUGUUGCGCAAUGGGGGAAUCGCUGACGCAGCAACGCCGCGUGAUUGAAGAAGUCCUUCGGGAAGUAAAGAUGUUUAAUCAGAGACGAAUCAAAUGACGGUACCUAAAGAAUAAGCACCGGCUAACUACGUG
rnacentral:rRNA from 1 species